AUUAUAGACAAAGGUACCAGUGAAUGAGGCAGAUGAAGGAUUUAAGGUAAAGAAGGAAAGAGAAGCAGAUAGGGGAAGUAUUGCAAGUCAGAGAGGAGAAAUUAGAGACAAGCAGAACGUUACUGACCCUGAAGGGGUAAAUAUGAGAGGGAAAGGAGAGCAUCUUUGCCUAAGAGAAGAGAGAGUGGGAAUGAAGAGCUCCUGGGGAUGAAGGCGGAGACCAGGACCAAAGGAAGUGAAGAAGAGUGAUAAAGAAGGAAAUGGAACAUUUUGAGAAGAAAGAGAAGAUUCGUUAAUGUGUUGAUAGGUAGAGGAAGAGUGGACAUUGGUUUCUUGGAAAAGAACUGUGACUGAGGAGCUUAUAGAGAAAUGUUUGAGAAAUGGAUUUAGGAUAGGCUAGAAGGAUUUAGCUUAACACAUGAUUGGGUUUAUGAGAUGUAGGAGAAUGCAUAGUGAGAAAAAUGGAAAGGUACAGCAGGGUAAGGAUAGGUCAUGGAGGUUGUGGACAGAGAUGCAGGCUGGAGUGCAGUUUCUGAGAGAGGAUCCUAAAGAAUAAUGAAGGGCUCCAAAGUGACAAAGGCAAGAGCAGAGAUAAGAAAAAAAAGAAGUGAAGAAAAAAAGUCUCUGCCUUCCCAAGACCAUCCACUGCUGGCCUCCUCUGGUGAUUAUCUGAGUACCGAGAAAUUGUUGCCUUUCUCAUAAGAAGCCUGCACAGGCACCAGGUCAAGACGAGCAGUUUUCGGUUGUGUGGGUCUGUCUCUCAGAUUGCGCCUCGCUGUAUAUAAAUUGUGAGCCAAAUAAUCAGACUUGUUCUUUGGCUGGAUUACAUUUUCUCCUGGAAUAUCAGAUGCAUUCCACCAAGACCACAGGAAGAAAAAGUGAAGAUCAAGAAGCUGUGACGCCGCUUUGUAAGCACAGAUAUUUUCAAUCAUCUGGGUAGUUACAACUUUACAUUCUAUAUAAAAUAUCCUUUUUUACUAAGCUUAACCGAAAUGCACACAUCACAGGCAAUUGAGAGUUCCUGAGUGAGUUUAUGUAUCUUUAUUAUUGUUUCUUUGCAUAUUCCCAAAGAUCCCUGUUUCUAACAACAGGUUGUAUUAAAAGUGACAUCAUUGUUUGGCUUUUGUUCAAAUGCCCUCUUGGUCCCAUUAACUCAUUCAGCCAGCACUGAAAACUCACCAUCUGCUAGUAGGGAAUGCAGCAAAUAUAAGGGACCAGGUUCUUGCCCUUGGCCUCCUGUCUAUCUCACGUUGAGACAGAUGUCUCAGUAAGCCAGUUACCACACAUUGUGUGAUGGGCUUGAAGGGACAUAGGUACUAAGUGUGGUGGGAAACGCAGAGGAGGGAGGGCCUGACUCUGGGGGCUGGUUAGGGGGCUGAUCAGAGAAGGCUUCAUGGUGGAGAUGACCAUUUAAGGCUGGACUUCAAAGGGUGAGAAGGGGCUGACGUUGGGUGAGAAGAAGAGAAACAAACAUUCUAAGCAGAAAGAAUAGUGCUGCUGAUGUAUGAUGACUAGGAGCCGUGUGGCUCAUUCUGGAAAAGACGAGAAAAGUAGUUUGGUGUGGCCGGAGCAGAGAGAGGAUUAUAGAGACUGGUAGGAUGUGAGCUGGGGGAGAGCCUGGGGACAACCUUGAAUGCAGGACUAAGGAAGUUGGCCUUUGUUCUGCAGGUGACAGGGAGAAUAACGCCAGCAGAUCUUUGCUUUAAGUAAUUUGCUGAGCCAAGAGAUCGAAUCAGCUGGGCGCAGUAUGAGGGUGGGUCAAAGUGGGACACUAAGUAUCUCCCCGGCACAGAGUCCCCUGCUCAGUAAAGCAGGAGGUAUGUUCAUUAGAUCGAUGUAAGGAACAGUUCAGGGUUGAGGGGACGAGGCUAUGAACUACGGCACAGAAAGUAGGGAUGAAAACAAGAGGAUAGACUGGAGAGGGUUUUAGGAGACGUAUUUAACAGGAUUUGCUGAUUAAUUGUGAAUGACAGUGAGGAGGGAGGCACCAAGCUUACAGCUAAUCGUGGCUGAUAUCUAUCACCAAAUGCUUACUUUGCAGUUAGGUGCUUUGCCUGCAGGAUCUCCUUUACUCCCAUAAUCGCCAUAUGAGCGGGGUUGUGCUAUUAUCUGCAUUUUAUACAUGAGGAAGUUGGAGCCUGGACUGGUCAAUCAAAGUGACUAGGCAGGUACGUCACUUUGAACCUAAGGAUUUGAACCCAAGGGAGGAACGUGAAGCAACCAACCAGGGAGCAGUUAAUGAGUGGCAGAUUCGGGCUGGAACCCACUGGAACCACCUACUACUCCCCAGAUUCAGGAACAGGCUGCCCAAGCACCAUAUCAAGCCACAGACGUGUAGUGUUUGGAUAGUAUAUUCUUAAAGCAGUUUUUAGAACGAACUGCUAAUGUUUAAAACCCUAGAGUUCAUAUUAAAACCUGGGUUUCUGGUUUUUCUUGAAAAGUAAGAAGAUCUGGCCACCCUGGGCCCAUACGGCAACCCUUACUGCCUGUCUGCAUUCCUGUGCUCUGCAGUAGGCCAGAGCCUGUCUGCCUGCCUGGGGUCCCUGCCCACCUUUGCAGGUGCCCGAGUUUGCUGGUCCAGUUUGAUGCCAAGCUGUGCUUGUGCAUUUGAUCUCGUGUCAAGCUGAGGCCUCCAUUGAUGACCA
ensembl:lncRNA